ACUUCCUUUUCAUAAAACUCUAUGGUUCUGACUUCCUGUCUUCCUGCCUUAAAUACCCUCCAUUUUACCGCCCAAGCUAGACUGCACGUGACUUGCCGGGUUUGUAUGUAUCGCGUUGCAUGUUUUUUUUUCUUUUUCCUUUUCCCGAAUAAAUCCUUUUUGGUGACGUACUACUUAGUUGAUAUUACUGUUCAGUCAGUAUUUUGGGGGUCUCGCCGAGAAUCCAGAGAAGAACAAACCCUAACGGCUUCAGAGCAGGUGAGCAGCCAACUCCUGGUGCCACACAAAAAGCCGUUUUCGCUCACUGCUUGCUCUCCGAUUCAGAAUCCUCGGGUUUCCUCACAGGAAGAUAGCGUCCAUCUGUUGGAACUUUUGGGCUUAAAGGGACAUAUGUGGUCUGACAAUUAAGUUGCGAACUUGCCACCGUGCCCUUGUAUUGGCAACACUGUACAAACAGCUUGCUCUGCACCUGUUGCCUGUUAACACUGGAUACAAGCUGUUCCCGUUCCGUGCACUUUCCCUCUUAUGUGAUAGAUGACACCCAGAAGAGGUUAUUCCUGACAUCAAGGGACAAAAAGCCUGAAGACAGAAGACCUGACUUGAUCAGCGAUGCUUUUGGAGAAAGACCUUGGUCAAAAGGGGGAAUGAUAAAGAUGAACUGGGACUUGAAAGAACCCAAUCAGGCUGGGAGGUCUGUGGGAGGGAGCUGGGCUCGUUGAACUCUGGUCCUACUGGUAACUUCCUUUUCAUAAAACUUUGGUUCUAACUUCCUGUCUCCCUGCCUUAAAUACCCUCCAUCUUAGCAGCACACAAGCCAGAAUGUGCAGGGGCGGGGGGUGGGGGAGGGUGCUGGGUCUGCACGUGCUGGGUUGCAGCCUUUUUUGUGAAUAAAUAUUUGGUGACAG